GACCUCGAAUCAGGUAGGACUACCCGCUGAACUUAAGCAUAUCAAUAAG
rnacentral:rRNA from 2 species